rnacentral:rRNA from 1 species
AUUGAACGCUGGCGGCAGGCCUAACACAUGCAAGUCGAACGGUAACAGGAAGCAGCUUGCUGCUUUGCUGACGAGUGGCGGACGGGUGAGUAAUGUCUGGGAAACUGCCUGAUGGAGGGGGAUAACUACUGGAAACGGUAGCUAAUACCGCAUAACGUCGCAAGACCAAAGAGGGGGACCUUCGGGCCUCUUGCCAUCGGAUGUGCCCAGAUGGGAUUAGCUAGUAGGGGGGGUAAAGGCUCACCUAGGCGACGAUCCCUAGCUGGUCUGAGAGGAUGACCAGCCACACUGGAACUGAGACACGGUCCAGACUCCUACGGGAGGCAGCAGUGGGGAAUAUUGCACAAUGGGCGCAAGCCUGAUGCAGCCAUGCCGCGUGUAUGAAGAAGGCCUUCGGGUUGUAAAGUACUUUCAGCGGGGAGGAAGGGAGUAAAGUUAAUACCUUUGCUCAUUGACGUUACCCGCAGAAGAAGCACCGGCUAACUCCGUG